AUUGAAACAUCGAUUCCCAUACGAUCACCAAAGUUAAGCAAUGUUGAGCUUGCUCAGUACCUAGAUGGGUGACUACUUGGGAAUACCAGAUGCUGCAAGC